rnacentral:rRNA from 1 species
GACAGAGGCCUCGAGCGUUAGGCGGAAUCACUGGGCUUAAAGCGUGUGUAGGCGGAUGCCUAAGUACCUUGUGAAAUCCCACGGCUCAACCGUGGAACGGCUGGGUAUACUGGGCGUCUUGAGCCAGCUAGGGGCGACCGGAGCAAACGGUGGAGCGGUGAAAUGCGUAGAUAUCGUUUGGAACGCCUGUGGUGAAAACGGGUCGCUGGGGCUGUGCUGACGCUGAGACACGAAAGCCAGGGGAGCAAACGGG